GGAGCUAUAGUCACCCCUAAUGCAUACCAAUGCUUCUGUCGUUUAUGGCUACGUAAGAUUUAUGACUUCAUGCACUAAGGCUGUAAACAGAGCACUAAAGUGAAAACACUUGCUCCUAUCGCUUAUUGCGAUGCAACUGCAUGAAAGGGGAAGCCAAACAGCGUAGGAGGGAAGAUAGGGACAAAAAUUCACUCGUUUGCAACUUUUCAAUGUUUGCAUUCAACUUUGGGCCGGCUGGAUGGAGUGGGGCGACACUAAACACUGCCGAUAUAAUGCAAAAAAAUUAAAUAGAGAGACCGAAAGAAGAGUUCAAAGUCAGCAAGGACGAAAAUACCAACUCCAACAACGUUAAUUUCACCGGAAACGUCCUGAAAUUGGAACAGAGACGAAAUCGAUUAUUCAGAGACUAAAGUUGGAAGAAAUCUUUAGGUCACUGUUAUUGAGCAAGUGGAACAUAUCAAAGCAAUAAAUCGCUCUCACAGCUCAAAGAGGCUUGAGGCUAAAAUAUCCAAAGUUGAUCAGUAUUCUUGUUAUAGUGACUGAUAUACCAAUACAAAUUUUAAAUGUGCAAAGUUCAACCUUGAAAUGUUCCAGCGCUCAACUACAAUGGAAAUGUGUAUUAGAAGAAGAGGAGAAUCCGAAAAGAAAGGGCUAUCAGACUUGGCGCUAAGCAACAACUUCUCUUGAAUCAAGCCAUUAAUUACGAACUGGGCCGGAAUUUAUCCUGUUUGCAAAAUAGACAGAGAUGCAAAGAAACAUUCCAGCUUACCUGAGAAUUCAGAAAAAUCCAAACCAUCGUCAAAGGAUAGAUAAAGUCGGCUGUAAUGUGCUUUGCAAGAGGGAAGUUUCAACGCAUAUUGAAGAGUUUACAUUUUCCAGGCUGUCCGUCUGUUUUGACUUUAUUGCACUCUGUUUACUCUGGACGGCUUCUCUUUCUGCAAAACCUUUUCAAAUUAGAUCAUCAGAAGGAAAUUUCACUCCGUCGUACUGAUUCGGCGCCCUGCAAGUACAAACUGUUUGGCUUAUACGUUUCUGCAGACGUCUGGGGUGCCGGGUUUUGGUGAGAUCUAUGCAUUAAAGCGAGAGAGAGGAAAGGAGCCCCGCAAACAAGCUGGGCCGAAUCGAGGGGGAAGAAAACCCUUAUGGAAUCCGUUCACGUGACUUAAAAUAAUUGUUAGCAGAAUCUGGAUCAAAUCUGGUUAUUACGUACAUACAAUAAAGUUUCUGUGGUUCAUUGUUAGGUUAGUAUGCUUGCAAACUGGCAGUACAUUAUGCGGAGUUGAUUUAGGAAACAGCUGCUCUAGUCUUGAGGAGAACUAAGUCCCAUUACAUUAUGAAGGAGGUGGGUCCAAUUACAGACGUGCUUUAUUGGAAUGCCAGCCCGGAAGCUGAAGACAUUGUAUCAGCCGCUGUGCUAUUGCAAUUAUCUUGUUUUGAUUGAUCAUAGCCAAUAGUAAGAAUAAUAAAAUGUACUUGACUGGAGUGAUGAGACAUUUAAUUAAGCGCUAUGUACUUUUACUAAUGAUCUUUUAUUGUAAAUAUUAGGAGUGGUACUCAAUUAUGACUGCAAACAAUGUACGCUCCUGCAUCUAAUUUGGUCAGGUAUCAACGACAAAUGCACCUAUUAAAUAGCGGCAAGAUCUUUAGGAAGAUCAAAUGUAUCCUUUCACGAGGGUAAACUCUAUCCAACUGAGUAUAGGCAAUGCAAUGGAAAUGAAGGAAUUCAAGAUUUUGACAAUAAGCGGAAUCAUUACCAUGUCCUAAAACACACACACACAAAAAGACAGGUGUUUCUCUACACUAUUUGGUCGGAUAUGUUUUGUUCGGCUCAGGAUUGCAUAUUUUUCCAUCUACCAGAAAAAUUGUACAUAGCUAGAAUAAGUGUUUCACUUU